rnacentral:rRNA from 1 species
GGAUUAGAUACCCUGGUAGUCCACGCCCUAAACGAUGGACACUAGGCGUUAGAGGUAUCGACCCCUCUAGUGCCGCAGCUAACGCAUUAAGUGUCCCGCCUGGGGAGUACGCUCGCAAGGGUGAAACUCAAAUGAAUUGACGGGGACCCGCACAAGCGGCGGAGCAUGUGGAUUAAUUCGAUACUAACCGAAGAACCUUACCCAGACUUGACAUCGCGGGAAAGCCUAUGAAAGUAGGCCCUCUUCCCACAAGGAAGACCCAAAGACACCUGUUGCAUGGCUGUCGUCAGCUCGUGUCG